GUGCAGUGUUUGCUUUGCCCGCAGCUGCUGACGUAUAAUAAUAAUAAUACGUCAUCAAUGCUGAGACAUUAUAGAGACAAACACAAGAAAACUCAGCCUCCUGCCACCAAUCAAGGAUCCAGGAAGCAACUUCAUAGUGAAGGACUUCCAGCCUUUCAUUGUAUUCACACCUAAAGCAUCCAGCCAAACAGUUCCUUGUUAAACCAGCCUCCUCUGUUCCCUGUGAAAGAGGAUUUUCCAAAGCUGAAGAAA